UGCCCGUCGCUGCUCCAUUGAUUCCACAUACUUAUCUCCUACAAUGGCACAUUAGACCAUUAGUUCCCUAAUAGCGGGUAAACAUUCGAGACAAUCUCAAGGCAAACAGAGAAACACAAUCGAUGCCUCUCAGUCUUCCAGAAAUACAAUCCUGCACCUGGACUCCCCCCUGAGUGGCCGAGCACCUGCACGAGAAAGCAACAGAGAGACAGUGUCCCUUUAAGGGAUAACUCAGCGAGGAAGAAGAAGAAAAACUGCAAAGAAGGAAGGAGAGGAGGUGUGUACGUGUACAUGUCAAACUGAUAGACACUUGGGAGGCAGGCAGGGAAAGAAAGAGGGGAGAGGAAGAUAAGGAGAGAGAUAAAGACGGAGAGACACAACAUUGCAUUAGGCACUAAGAGCCACUGCUUGCUGGCUAAAGGCUAAUGCAAUUGCCACACAAUAAGAGCGUCUCAGUGGAGGCAGUAAAAAAAAAGAAAAAACUGGAGAGGGGAAUGUAAGAGGAGAGUCAAGGAGGGAGGGAGGGAGGGAGGUGAACUGGCAGCUCUGCCUCCAGACUCUCAUAUGGAUCUCCUGGGACAAUGGUUGAAAGUCUCUCUCUGUCUCUACUGUAACUCCUGGCUGAGUGGCUCGGAGCUCCGCCGGGUCUCCAGAGUGAUUUAUCAGGUUUGCAUGGAGGAGGAGAGUCGGAGAGGGAGAGGACGGGGGGAGACAACUCCGGUAGCAGGCAGGCAGCAGUUACCAGCCGGCUGGGUGUGUUAACUCCACAUCUGACCUCUAUGGGAGCAGAGCAGCUUCCUCUCCUCCUGCUGGGAACCAGGAGGACACAUCUGCUCCUUCAACCCCGCUCCGGCUGCUUCUCGCUGGGGUUGCCGGGCUCCAGGAACCACAGCAGGAGAACUGAGGAUCGCACUGCUUCUUGGACUGGAAAUGUCAGUUAGUGAGCCAGUAAACCGGCCGGGUGGUGGGCUUCCUUCCCAAAGAGCUCCACUUGGUGCCUAUCCUCAUCUGAACUCUGUGGUGGAUCUGUGGGCACGACACUCCACAGCUGCCCUGGACGAAGCCGUGUGCAGCCCAGGAGGACGGAGCCGUACGGAGGCCUCUCUGCCCCGGCUGUGGUGGGGAGGGUUCCUGGCACCGUGAUUUGAUGCACAAAGAGAAACAAAAAUCACAUUGCCAGGGAUUUCCACUCCUUCACAGCUCAGCAGGUGACUCACGGUGCCUUUUAGUUGAUUCCUGACGCCGUAGAAGUGACGUCGGAGAGCUCAGAUGCUCAACUUGUGGAUUCUCACAUGCAAGACUGUGGGAAAAAAGCGAAUAAGGGUCUGUCCAGAAUUUGAGGACAUUUGGGCUUCAAAAUUGUUGAAAUAUUUACCUUUUACAAUCUCUUUACCAGUUUUCUGCUCCAUAUUCUUCAGUAAUAGGGACUGAUUGGCCCAGCUUCCACAUCGAUGGAAGCAUUUUUAUUCCAUGCUUUCUGUGUUGUUUGCUAACCCUACUCUACAUGACAAAAACAAGACACAAAACAGCAAAAACAAGACACAAAACAGCAAAAACAAGACAGAAAAUGACAAAACGACAGAAAAUGAUUAAAAAAACAAGACAAAAUGACAAAAACAAGACACAAAGCAACAAAUUGAGACACAAAACGAAAAAAACAAGAAUGAAAAUGACAAAAACAAGACAAAAACAACAAAAACAAAACAAAAUGACAAAAACAAGACAGAAAACAACAAAAAUGAGACAUGAAACAAGAAAAACAAGACCGAAAACGACAAAAACAAGACACAAUAUGACAAAAACAAGACACAAAAUGACAAAAACAAGACAGAAAACAACAAAAACAAGACAAAA